UACGGGAGGCAGCAGUGAGGAAUAUUGGUCAAUGGGAUCAAGCCUGAACCAGCCAUGCCGCGUGCAGGAUGACGGUCCUAUGGAUUGUAAACUGCUUUUGUACAGGAAGAAACACUCCCUCGUGAGGGAGCUUGACGGUACUGUAAGAAUAAGGAUCGGCUAACUCCGUGCCAGCAGCCGCGGUAAUA
rnacentral:rRNA from 1 species